AUGGACAUCUGGCAUCAUAUACUGUCCCUUCUGCCACUGGCAGAUGCUGCGCGAGCUGGCUGUGUGUCUCAAACAUUUCGAAGCUCCUGGAGAUCCCAUCCUAACCUCACCUUAAGUAUGGAAACGCUGCGCCUCGAUGGAGAUACAUGCAGAGAAGAUAAACUGGCACGGGUUUUCACCAAGAGAGUCAACCGCAUUAUGAGAAAACACUCAGGCGGCGUGAAGACAUUCAACCUUAGUUAUAAUUACCUUCGUUCUUUUCUGGACACCAGUUAUCUCAACAGGUGGCUUGAGAUUGCUGUUACUACGGGGAUUGAAGAGGUCAAACUUUCAAUGCCUCUAGGACGCACCGCGGUUCGUUACAAGUUCCCAUGCCCGGUUUUAUCCAACGGGAGUGGAAACUCGAUUCGACAUCUUCACCUCAGCCGUUGCGCCUUCCAUCCCACGGUCGGGCUUCGUUGCUUGACAAGGCUGUUUCUGUUGGAGGUGCACAUCACGAGAGAUGAGUUAGGGCACCUUCUGUCCAAUUCUCUUGCUAUGGAAGAGUUGUGUCUCAAUAGUUGUCAUAAGAUAAUUCGCCUCAAGAUAUCUUGCCUGCUACAUCGGUUCAGCUGCCUGUCAGUGUUUCAUUGCAAGUCUCUGGAAGUGAUAGAGAAUAGAGCUCCAAAUCUUUGCUUUGUUCGCAUUGAUGGUGCUGUAGAGAAACUUCCGGUUGGAGAUUUAUUGCAAAUGAAGAGACUACACAUGUUGGAUUACUACGAAUCUGACCUUGUUCAUGAUGCUCGUUCCAAGCUUCCAUUCAUUAUGCCAAAUCUUGAAACCCUCAACCUAUCUUCGGCUGGAGAGAUGUUUAAUACACCAAUCUUAACUGUCAGAUUCCUCUUCCUGAAGAACCUGCUGAUUGAUCUUAAUGCAGAUAGGGGGGCUUUUCCCCAUCCUAUGAUUAUUUUUCUCUAG
rnacentral:rRNA from 1 species